UUGUUACAACACCCUAAGUUGAGGGAUAGUGAAAUUUACCCCAAAUAUAUCGAAUUAGCCGAUCUUGAAGAGAUAAAGCCUGAUUCUAUUUUGACAACUCCAAAGGUACAAGUACAAUUGAUUGUGGAGAACAAUACAAUUUAUUAUUAGUUUGUAUAAAAGUGUGAUCUGGUGAACAGAUUGUUGAUAUUAAACAGCUAACUGUUUUGAUUGGUAGUAAUUCCUUAUUCCAUAUAGAUUCAAUAGUGAAUUCAGGAAAACUAUGUUGUUGAGAACCUUCUUGUUGAAAAUCUAGAACUCAG
rnacentral:misc_RNA from 1 species